GCCCACAUGGUCUAGUGGUAAGAUCCCCCGUUCGGGUAUGUUCUGCUUCGGGGGGGUCCUCAGUUCAAAUCUGGGUGUGGGCC